CUUUUCUUUUUCUCAGGUCUCAUUUACUUCCUCUUUUUUUUUUCCUUUUCCUUUUCCUAUACCUUCCUUUGGUCCUUAUAAGUAUCCAAAUUGCCCUAAAAUAACUUCUGCACAUGCAGCAUUAGGAAGCAGUGUUUCCCAACCACUACAUUUGAAUGAUUCAUUCCUCUGAGGACCCUCAAGUACUUCAGAAGAACUAAAAAAUGAAUAUCACGUUACACCAAAGAAGAAAUGAAAGCUGCCAGUGUCUUCUGAAGUUAAACAGGCUCCUGUUCUUUGACCCAGCAAUCCAAUCCUAGGACUCCAACUAAGCCACUAUGCUGGGAGCAGAGAUGGGGAAGAAUUGCUGAGUCAUGAUAAGAGAAGGCACUAUAGGAAGAAACAGUGAACUCUUAACAGCUGGGCAAGCAAUGAGUCAGCCUGGGUGGUCACUCCAGAUGCUCCCGGACACAUCCCAAUUUCUAGGAUGCCUUGCUUGUUGUUCUUGUCAUGGUCUAAACCAGCUUACCCCACUGCCACAUUUAUCCAUCAGCCUAUGGGAAAAGGGAAAAAGGAUGUGGAAGUGAAGUGAUCUUUAAAAGCCAAGGAAAGGAAGACAGGAAAAAUGAAGAUAAAUCCCAAAAGAUCAAUAUUUACUUUUAGUCUGCAUUUAAGUGUGCAUCGUUGAGAGAAUCCACGGCAACUUUUAUUAAAGAUAGAAGUUGUACUUGCCAACACAUCAACAAUUUAUGUUUAGAAACAAGAUACUCAAUCUCAAGUUAUCUUCCCUCUGUAAGCCGCAUUUAGCUUUUUAAAAAUCAAGAUAUUGAGAUGCAUUAUACAUAUUGCAAAAUCGAUGUUUUUAGGUGUACCGUUUUAUAAAUCCUGACAAAUUUAUACCGUUGUGUUUACAAUACCACAAACAAGAAACAGAACAUUUCUAUCACUCCAAAUGUUUCUUUGUGUCCUUUGUAAUCAGUUUUCUUCCUCCAAGGCCAGAGCCUGAUAACUACCAAUCUGCUCUGUGUCUUAAUAGCUUUGCCUUUUCUGGAAGGACAUCUCAAUGGAAUCCUAUAGUAUGUAGCAUUUGAAACGGGCAUCUUUCUUUUAAUAUAUUUGAGAUU
rnacentral:lncRNA from 1 species